CCUCAUUCACGGCAGUCCACUCAAGCCAAGCCUCAAUCCUGUUGGUACAUCCUGAUCACCGAGCUAGCUGCGUAUCCUUCUCGUCAAGUUGAGGAUGAGCAGGAGUGAGUCGGCGAAGCAGGAAGACAGUGGUUGAGCCCAUCAUCUCUUGGAGAAUCGACCCAGUAGUCCGAACCUUAUAGUUGAGUCAGAAGCUUUGACUUAGUUUCCACCCAAGAGAAGAUCAUGGCGUCGGUUGUUAAAGUGACACAGCUGCUUCUCCUGACCAUCUUCCUAACCUAUAUGGUGACCGUAUCCGAGUCAUGUAGGUGCAUCCACUGCAGUGGCUACCCGGAACAUCUGCAAUGCUAUUGCGCGGUACACUACUGUCCGUCCAAACGAUCGGCUGCCAUAGCUCGGAUGCUUGGGAUCCCUCAACCAUCUGCCCGUGAACUUUCGUCUGUCAAACGUUCGCCGGGCACCUUUCCUUUCGGCAAACGAGAUGGCGAUGGGGUUAUCACGCCUUUCUGAGACCUGCUAACGUGACCCUAUUUCCGCCUUUCCUGAUAUGAGCGGAGACGUUCCAGAGUGGAUUCUAGAAUCUUCGCGCUAGGAACUCUUCUGUUUGAUGCAAGCUGGCGAGUCAUCUCCUUGAAGAGAGGAAACAACGGAGCACCGCUCCAAAAAGGUGGACGGGUUUAUGAGAAAAGAUUUUUGAAAAAGAAGAAAUUGGGGGAAAAAGGGGGGGGGGAGGGAGGGUUUCCACAACACAAGAAAAAUCGUCGUUUACACUAACAACGGCAAAAAUAAACAAACAAAAAAGAAAAGAAGAAAAAAAAUUCCCCACAGUUUUACUCUUGAAACUGUAGGUCACGACGGUGAUCAGCUAUAAUAUAAUGACAACGUAGAAUUUACUUUAUUGGCCUUUUACAGAGAAAAUGACAAAUAAACCGCAAAAAAAACAAAAUAAAAAUAUAAAUGGGUAAGAAUGGGAUGUCUACAGAAGCCAAAAAAUGUACUCUCUAUUUAUUUAUUUAUUUAUUCAUUUAUCUAUUUAUCUGUUUGCUAUCCCUUAUUGUUUCUUGCCAUGACAGUACAAAAUAAUAAACAAAUUAUGAAAACCUA